AUUGAACGCUGGCGGCAGGCCUAACACAUGCAAGUCGAGCGGAUGAAGGGAGCUUGCUCCUGGAUUCAGCGGCGGACGGGUGAGUCAUGCCUAGGAAUCUGCCUGGUCGUGGGGGAUAACGUCCGGAAACGGGCGCUAAUACCGCAUACGUCCUGAGGGAGAAAGUGGGGGAUCUUCGGACCUCACGCUAUCAGAUGAGCCUAGGUCGGAUUAGCUAGUUGGUGGGGUAAAGGCCUACCAAGGCGACGAUCCGUAACUGGUCUGAGAGGAUGAUCAGUCACACUGGAACUGAGACACGGUCCAGACUCCUACGGGAGGCAGCAGUGGGGAAUAUUGGACAAUGGGCGAAAGCCUGAUCCAUCCAUGCCGCGUGUGUGAAGAAGGUCUUCGGAUUGUAAAGCACUUUAAGUGGGGAGGAAGGGCAGUAAGUUAAGACCUGGCUGUUUUGACGGUACCAACAGAAUAAGCACCGGCUAACUUCGUG
rnacentral:rRNA from 1 species